rnacentral:snRNA from 1 species
AUGCUUGCUUUGGCAGCACGUAUACUAAACAUGGAGUGACACAGAGAAGAUUAGCAUGGCCCCUGUGCAGGGAUGACACACACGUUGGUGAAGCAUUCCAUAGUUUU